GUGCUCGCUUCGACAGCACAUAUACUAAAAUUGAAAUGAUACAGAGAAGAUUAGCAUGGCCCCUGCACAAGUAAUUAAAAAAAAAUGGCUAUCUAGCAGAGUUGU
rnacentral:snRNA from 1 species